AACGAACGCUGGCGGCAUGCCUAACACAUGCAAGUCGAACGAGACCUUCGGGUCUAGUGGCGCACGGGUGCGUAACGCGUGGGAACCUGCCCUUAGGUUCGGAAUAACUCCCCGAAAGGGGUGCUAAUACCGGAUAAUGUCUUCGGACCAAAGAUUUAUCGCCUUUGGAUGGGCCCGCGUUGGAUUAGCUAGUUGGUAGGGUAAAAGCCUACCAAGGCGACGAUCCAUAGCUGGUCGGAGAGGAUGAUCAGCCACACUGGGACUGAGACACGGCCCAGACUCCUACGGGAGGCAGCAGUGGGGAAUAUUGGACAAGGGGCGAAAGCCUGAUCCAGCAAUGCCGCGUGAGUGAUGAAGGCCUUAGGGUUGUAAAGCUCUUUUACCCGGGAUGAUAAUGACAGUACCGGGAGAAUAAGCACCGGCUAACUCCGUG
rnacentral:rRNA from 1 species